GAACAUCCCAACGUCCUCAAGUUUAUCGGUGUUGUGGAUGACGAUGUCCUUGGUCGUUUCAUGGUCCUGGAAUAUUGUGAAAAUGGUCAACUUAAGGAAUACUUAAAAGCCAACAAACACAGAGUUAACGACGAGAUGCACGAGAAACUGUACAGAUUCGCCUGUGGAAUCUGUAAAGGGAUGAAUUAUCUUGCGUCCCAAGGGGUUGUGCACAGACGCCUGGCAGCAAGAAACAUUUUGCUGACGUUUCUGCUAGAAACGAAAAUCACGGGCUUCGGGCCAGAGCCUCGGGAAAAUGACGGCAGCGACACAAAGACGGAGCGAGUUCCAAUCAAAUGGGUGGCCCCCGAGUGUAUCAAGACAACAAAACACGCCACAGAGAAGAGUGACGUGUGGUCCUAUGGAGUGGUCCUCUGGGAAAUAUUUUCCAUGGGAGAGGCUCCUUAUGAUGGCAUCAAGAGCAUGGAGCUUGAAUUGAAGCUGAAGAAAGGAUUGCGACUUAAGAAACCAGAGCAUUGUGAUGAUGUGUUCUACAAAAUCAUGAAGAGAUGUUGGACAUAUGAAUCAGAAAAACGUCCCAACUUCGAGGAAAUCUUAGAUGAACUGCAAACUCUUUUUACAGGCAACAUCGAUGGAGACGAAUACUACUACUCGCAGAAUGGACUUUACGACAACCGAAAGUGAAGAACAUUCAGCUCGGUCGCUUUUACGGCACAUGCAGCUCUGAUCGCAGUCUCAGACAAUCGUUAUAUUUCAAGUGUCUCAAUAUACAAUUUUGUUUUGUACAAGUAGCUCAUUUCUACUCGCAGAAUGACCUUGACAACAACCGAAAAAAAAUCAAUCUGUUUAAUUUUAGUGCAUAAUAUGAACUAACAAAUCAACAUCGUGUCUUUGUUAUAUGAACUUUUUUUACCUUUGCUGCACAGAAUAUACUUUAUGACAAAUGAAAAUGAAGAAAAUUUAGCCGCUCGCAUUUACGGCAUAAAGCCGAACUUUACCACGCAACAUCAGACAAGAUUUAUAUGCAUGUUACCGUGUCUCAAAAUACAUCUUGGUUUUUUAUUUGUACUUGUUUUUACACCUUUGUUACUUAAAUGUAUGCGGCAAUUCUCA
rnacentral:misc_RNA from 1 species